rnacentral:tRNA from 1 species
UUCUUGACAGUCCAGUGGCUAGGAUUUUGUGCUUCCAAUGCAGAGGCCACAGGUUUGAUCCCUGGUCAGGGAA